UUGGGAAUCUUGCACAAUGGGGGAAACCCUGAUGCAGCGACGCCGCGUGGAGGACGAAGGGUCUAGGCCUGUAAACUCCUUUUUUCGGGAAAGACUUAGGACGGUACCCGAAGAAUAAGGACCGGCUAACUACGUGCCAGCAGCCGCGGUAAGACGUAGGGUCCAAGCGUUGUCCGGAUUUACUGGGCGUAAAGAGCGCGUAGGCGGUCUGUUAAGUGUAGAGUGAAAUCUCUGGGCUCACCCCAGAAACUGCUCUGCAUACUGGCAGACUUGAGGGAUGCAGAGGUUUGUGGAAUUCCUGGUGUAGCGGUGAAAUGCGUUGAUAUCAGGAGGAACACCCAUGGCGAAGGCAGCAAACUGGGCAUCAUCUGACGCUGAGGCGCGAAAGCGUGGGUAGCAAACAGGAUUAGAUACCCCCGUAGUCC
rnacentral:rRNA from 1 species